GACGAACGCUGGCGGCGUGCUUAACACAUGCAAGUCGAACGGAAAGACCCUGCUUUUGUGGGGUGCUCGAGUGGCGAACGGGUGAGUAACACGUGAGUAACCUGCCCUUGACUUUGGGAUAACUUCAGGAAACUGGGGCUAAUACCGGAUAGGAGCUCCUGCUGCAUGGUGGGGGUUGGAUAGUUUCGGCGGUUGGGGAUGGACUCGCGGCUUAUCAGCUUGUUGGUGGGGUAGUGGCUUACCAAGGCUUUGACGGGUAGCCGGCCUGAGAGGGUGACCGGCCACAUUGGGACUGAGAUACGGCCCAGACUCCUACGGGAGGCAGCAGUGGGGAAUAUUGCACAAUGGGCGGAAGCCUGAUGCAGCAACGCCGCGUGCGGGAUGACGGCCUUCGGGUUGUAAACCGCUUUCGCCUGUGACGAAGCGUGAGUGACGGUAAUGGGUAAAGAAGCACCGGCUAACUACGUG
rnacentral:rRNA from 1 species